GUGAGGAAUAUUGGACAAUGGGCGCAAGCCUGAUCCAGCCAUGCCGCGUGCAGGAAGACGCAUCUAUGGUGUGUAAACUGCUUUUGUACGGGAAGAAACACUCCCUCGUGAGGGAGCUUGACGGUACCGUAAGAAUAAGGAUCGACUAACUCCGUGCCAGCAGCCGCGGUAAUACGGAGGAUCCAAGCGUUAUCCGGAAUCAUUGGGUUUAAAGGGUCCGUAGGCGGUUUAAUAAGUCAGUGGUGAAAGCCCAUCGCUCAACGAUGGAACGGCCAUUGAUACUGUUAGACUUGAAUUACAAGGAAGUAACUAGAAUAUGUAGUGUAGCGGUGAAAUGCUUAGAUAUUACAUGGAAUACCAAUUGCGAAGGCAGGUUACUACUUGUGGAUUGACGCUGAUGGACGAAAGCGUGGGGAGCGAACAGGAUUAGAAACCCGUGUAGUCC
rnacentral:rRNA from 1 species